AUUGAACGCUGGCGGCAUGCUUUACACAUGCAAGUCGAACGGGGUGAGGGGGCAACCUCUCAUCUAGUGGCGAACGGGUGAGUAAUGCAUCGGAACGUGUCCCGUAGUGGGGGAUAACCCGGCGAAAGCCGGACUAAUACCGCAUAUGCUCUACGGAGGAAAGUGGGGGACCUGUAAGGGCCUCACGCUAUGGGAGCGGCCGAUGUCCGAUUAGCUUGUUGGUGAGGUAAUGGCUCACCAAGGCGACGAUCGGUAGCUGGUCUGAGAGGAUGAUCAGCCACACUGGGACUGAGACACGGCCCAGACUCCUACGGGAGGCAGCAGUGGGGAAUUUUGGACAAUGGGGGCAACCCUGAUCCAGCCAUGCCGCGUGCGGGAAGAAGGCC
rnacentral:rRNA from 1 species